GAGCUGCGAGGGAGGAUGGGAGGUUCAGAGUAGGAGGAGCAGCAGCAGCUGGACUGGCCUCCCACUUCCCACCCUCUGAGGGCUGCCAUAGGGGCUUCCCGAGCAAAAGCACCCAUCAGGUGCUGGGAUAAAGCCCGGAGCAGGAGGAGACUGCAGGAGAAGCCAGAUCAUCCGAGUCACCGGGUGCUGAGCCAGCGCCUCCUGGGGUCAAUCGAGACUCAAGACUUGGAACACUACUCGUGCAGAAGCCAGCAAGGUCUCCUUGGAGAGCGGUGAGUUCACCAGGGCUGCCCUGGGCAGAGUGAGCUGGUGCUGAGAGAACUGCAACUGUGACAGCCUAGGGGCCAGACGCUGGACACGUGGCUGUGAUGAAUGGCAUAGAUGAGAGACCGCCACACCUCGCCUCACCCGCCUCCCUCCACACCUGCUUGCGUGCCCACCUCCUCGUAGUCGUUCUCCGGGGUCAGGAAAUCAUCCACGAUGGUGACCCGGGGGCCCAGCUGCUCGCUCAGCACGUCCAGGAAGCGGAGAAACCAGGCCAUACAGAGAUAGGAGCUGAAGGGACACGGUGAGAAGUGACCAAAAGACAAGAGUGUGAGCCCUCCGUUAUGCCUGGACAGGGCCACUAGAGGGCUCCCUGGUCUACUGGUAACGCCAGUGCCUGGGAAGGCACCCGUUGCUUAGCAGACCGGGAAAGGGAGUCUCCCUUUCCUGGUGGAGUUAAAGAAGACUCUGCUCCACCACUGCUUGCCCGCCCGCAGCCACCCAGAGGCCUAACGCUGUCCCUGUGAUGCUGUGCUUCAGUGGUCACGCUCCUGGUCCGCAUUCAUGUUCUGCCCUGUGCACUCGGCUCCACCUUCUAGAUAGCAGCAGCAGAAUUAGUGAAAGUACUAAAGUCUUUAAAAUGCAUAGAAGAAAUAAUUACGUAAGCUGUCCCCUCUUUCUCUCCGCCUCAGCUACCAAAUAGGGAAGGGCCCCCUGUCUGGCGGACACGUGACUCACAUGACCUUACCUAUCAUUGGAGAUGACUCUCACUCCAUACCCUGCCCCUUUGCCUUGUACACAAUAAAUAACAGCACGGCCAGGCAUUCGGGGCCACUACUGGUCUCCGCGUCUUGGUGGUAGUGGUCCCCCGGGCCCAGCUGUCUUUUCUUCUA
rnacentral:lncRNA from 1 species